rnacentral:rRNA from 1 species
CCCUNCCGGGGCGGUGGCAGGAUGCAACGAAACCCANUGUUGUCCGACCGCGUUGCNUCGGGGGCGGNCCUGCCUCGUGCUCGGNCCCCCCGGUGGACAUGAACCAAACUCUUGCGUAACAUUGCAGUCUGAGUGAUUUAUUAAAUGAAUCAAAACUUUCAACAACGGAUCUCUUGGUUCUGGCAUCGAUGAAGAACGCAGCGAAAUGCGAUAAGUAAUGUGAAUUGCAGAAUUCAGUGAAUCAUCGAAUCUUUGAACGCACAUUGCGCCCCGUGGUAUUCCGCGGGGCAUGCCUGUUCGAGCGUCAUUACACCACUCAAGCCUCGCUUGGUAUUGGGCGACGCGGUUGCAAAGCCGCGCGCCUCUAAACGACCGGCUGGGUCGAUCGUCCCUCAGCGUUGUGGAAACAGUUCGCUAUGGGUCGCGGUCGGGCACGCCGUUAAACAAACCAACUCAAGGGUUGACCUCGGAUCAGGUAGGGAUACCCGCUGAACUUAAGCAUAUCAAUAAGCGGAGGA